rnacentral:rRNA from 1 species
UACAGAGAGUGCGAACGUUGUUCGGAAUCACUGGGCAUAAAGCGCACGUAGGCGGCCUUUCAAGUGUGGAGUGAAAUCCCACGGCUUACCCGUGGAACUGCUUCGCAUACUGUUUGGCUCGAGGAUGGUAGAGGAGAGCGGAACUCCUGGUGGAGCGGUGAAAUGCGUAGAUAUCAGGAGGAACACCGGUGGCGAAGGCGGCUCUCUGGUCCAUUUCUGACGCUGAGGUGCGAAAGCUAGGGUAGCGAACGGGAUUAGAUACCCCGGUAGUCCUAGCCGUAAACGAUGGGUACUAACUAGAGGUCAUUCCUGUGUGGUCUCUGGUGAAGCAAAUGUGCUAAGUACCCCGCCUGGGGAGUAUGGUCGCAAGGCUAAA